rnacentral:rRNA from 1 species
CCUACGGGGGGCAGCAGUGAGGAAUAUUGGUCAAUGGACGAGAGUCUGAACCAGCCAAGUAGCGUGAAGGAUGACUGCCCUAUGGGUUGUAAACUUCUUUUAUAUGGGAAUAAAAUGUUCCACGUGUGGGAUUUUGUAUGUACCAUAUGAAUAAGGAUCGGCUAACUCCGUGCCAGCAGCCGCGGUAAUACGGAGGAUCCGAGCGUUAUCCGGAUUUAUUGGGUUUAAAGGGAGCGUAGGUGGAUUGUUAAGUCAGUUGUGAAAGUUUGCGGCUCAACCGUAAAAUUGCAGUUGAAACUGGCAGUCUUGAGUACAGUAGAGGUGGGCGGAAUUCGUGGUGUAGCGGUGAAAUGCUUAGAUAUCACGAAGAACUCCGGUUGCGAAGGCAGUUCACUGGACUGCAACUGACACUGAGGCUCGAAAGUGUGGGUAUCAAACAGGAUUAGAUACCCGGGUAGUC